UGUGCACUCACCCAGCCAGGGACCUGAGAUUUCUUCUGAGCCAAAAACAAUCUGCAUUGUGUCAGUCUCUUUUUAGGGAGGCCCUAGGACUCCAUUGCUGUACAAAUCUGUGUCUCCUGCUGGUAGAAGUAUCUUGAGAGCAGGAUCUGUAAGUUCAGGCUUCUGGCUGAUCUUGAACUCAUAGGAAUCUUUCUGCCUCUGCCUCCAGAGUGCUGGGAUUACAAGCGUGCACCACCAUGUUCGAGUAGCAUCUUUAAGGAUAACAGAAAGGAAAGGCGGAGGUGAGAUGCACGGGGACGCUGCACAGCUCAACACUCGCAUCUAACAGCCAGAAAAUCGGAAGAGCACCGUCGUCGUAGAAAUAUCCAUCUUUUCCACGAGGAUUCUACCCAAGAAUGUAAAGUGGAAGGCUGGGGGAGCCAAACGGAAUGAAGGAGAAAACUCUGAAGUGUACUAGAAAAGGACAAAUUAGAUCCUGAGAAUGGCCUGGCCAGGUUAGGAAGCCUUCCUAGUCCCAACCUGGCAACCAUAGUAACAUCAGCCGGAAGUAGUAGCAUUACAGGAAGAAAGCUGCUGCCUGAAUCUCAGGAUUGGCAGGCUCUUGGCCUAGGCCUUAGAGCUCAGUGAGGUAGCUGACCAUCACCUACCCUAUUUUUCCUGGGACUUUGCUUCCCAGUACACUUGUGUGUUGCAAGGGAUGGGAUGUACAUGACCUGCUGCUCUACUGCAAUACCCUCCCCAUGUUUGAGACCUGUACCAAUCCUCUGGACUAUCUGCUUCCAACCACAGAAGCGUUUGAACAGGCUUCUCAAGUGGCACAAUCAUGGAAGACUGAAAUUAAGGGCAGCGGACUAAUCUGGUGGAAGAAAUUUCAAGGUAGCCUAAUUCAUGUCUUCCUGUCAUGAGUCACUCUACCCACGAGUUUGAGUAGGCCACCAUUAGAGCCUUUCUAUUGUCAGGGAUGUUCUCCAAGCUAAUUUCGCUGCCCUUGGUUAAGCAGGGAACAUCUGGGGAAGUCAUGCCUCUCCCUGGUGCCCUACCUAUAUCUGAGCAAUGAAGAGAGGCACUUAUAGCCUCCUGAAUUACUUUACCUUUGUGAUGACCAUGAACAGAUUGCUUCUUGGUUUUAAACUCUUCCAACCUGUAUUACCCUAAUGUGCCUCCAUUAUUCUAGCAACUCUUCUUCACAAGAACCAUCUGGCAUAAUGGUGGUUUGAGAAGACAGAAACACUCAGUGCGGGGAUUCUCUAAGCUUCGCAAACCUGUUACAGCCAUGGCUGUCCUGGUAUUCUUUGCACUGUGCUUGCAUGCAGCACUACUUACAGAAACCAGCAUCCUCAGCUCUGCUCAGGAUUCCAGGUCUCCUGCCUUCUCAAGAUGUGCCUGCAGCGGUCACUCCUCUCUCUUGACCUAUCAACUGCUUCCUCUGCCAUAGAGCAUUCCAUAAAGGAAGGGAGGAAAACUCACCCUCUUUCCACAUGUUUCAGCAGUGACUGGCAUCUUCUCUGCUUAACAGAGCUUCUCUCCCCAUCACCCCGAUGAAACAGUCAUGUCAGUGUCACCAGUUAUUUUCUCCUUGCUGGGACAAAAUGCCUGACAUGUAUAAGUUAAAGGAGGAAAGGUUCAUUUUAGCUCACAGUUUGUAGAGGUUUUAGUCCAUAGUUGUCUGAUUCCAAGGCAGGAAAGCAUGGCAAAGGGUCAUAGUAGAGAAUAAAUAAUCUAUAGGGUAACAGGAGGCAAUGAAUCUUCAUCUUCCUUUCCCUUUUCAUUCCAUCCAGGCUGCAAGCCUAUUGGUUGGUGCCACCCACCCCCAGAGUUGGUCUUCACUCUUCAGUAAAACCAUCACAGAGAGAACUAUGUUAAAUGAAUCAGAGGACUGAUCCGGUACCACACGUCCAUAAUCCAGUAUCACACACUAAUGAUCCAGUCACUCAGAAAGCCCCACUUAUGAGCGCAUGAGGCUUUGGUGGGACGUCUAGAUAUAAGCCAUAGCAACCAAAAAGACCUAUAUUGCCUAAGCAAGGUAUACUUCUCUAUAAACAUUGAGAAAAGUUUUUGUACAUAUUUGGCACAUUUAGCCAUUCCUUUUAGAAUGUAAUAUUUGAGAUGUGUAUGUUGUGAGAACACAUUCUCCUGUAAUUCCCAAGGAUGACCUGGGUAUAAUAAUUCAUUUCUUGGGUCAACAUGAAAUGCAAGCCAGAUAAAGUGUUCUUUUUGCAAACUCCACGGAUUGAAGGACCUCAGAGACAGUGGCCAACAGUCAGACAUCUCAAAUGAAGCAAGCUAGUCAGUGAAGAGGACAGUGAUCUACAGUACAAAAAGAUCUUACUCCUUCCCCCACACAUACUGGGGCUCAUGGAAAUUCACUUCCCAAAACAACCUGGUUAGCCUCCUUGGAUAGUUGGAUAGCUGAAGUUUAGGGACUUAACUUUUUGUAGCUUGUCUUGAUUUCCUGCUGUGUUGUAGGUGAGGCUCCAGUGUGAUGAAUUCCCUGAGGGGGAAUGUUGAAAGUGGCUGAUGGAGGGGGCAGAGAAGGUACCUGGAAGAAAGCCUAACCUGGGCCUAGGUGAUCCUGCAGCCAAGGCUGUGGAAUUCAUAUCCUUAGGGGCAGGACAGACAAUGACACCCAGAUUCAGAGGGAUCUGCACGUGCAAGCACAGUUGCACUGAGGGUGAGCAGCCAGGGAACACCAGGUCCUGACAAGGAUGAGUAGGACAAAAACGCAAGUUACUUCAACUAUAGGCAUGGGGGAGCAAGUCUGAUCAAUAACAGGACAUGGGAGACAAAAGUAGUCAUCUUGCCCUCAGGAGUGACCAGGAACACUGUGAACAACAUAUGAAUGGUAGAGGCCCUAUCCUCCAUCACUACAGACACUAGAUAUCCUCUUAGAGUUCUUUACUAUCUUGGAAAGUAGUAGUGAGCUGCAGUGGGAAUGUGAGAGACUGAAAAUGUUCACCAAAACAUACUGAGCACUUAUCUGAAUGGGCUAUUCACAUAAUCGCACUAGAUGACACAAAAUUGGACAUUAAUCUAGUGUUGCAUCUCCUUACUGUCCGGGACACAGGAAUUGUACCAGUUAGAGAAAGUCAGUGAACUCAUAUUCCUGUGGGCUCACGAGAAUGUAUGGUCUCUGCACACCAUCUCCUUCAGCUCCCAUCAGCUACUGCCUUUCCCUUCUGUCCUAUCAUACCUGUGAACAAAGAAAUGGAGCAUCCUUGCCUCCCCUUAGCCUUUAAGCCAGGACAAUUUUACACAGCGCCCAGUGACCUGCCAAAUACAGCACAAAAAGCAGAGAGACAAGAAGACAAUCACAGCAGAGCAACUGAUGAGAUUUGGCCUGAGGUGAGCAGGGCUUCCCUGAUCCAUGUCAUUGCCCUCCCCAAGAGAUACUGGGUCCCUUUGACCUUUACCAACAAACCCUAUGUCCAGGCCUGAGACCUAGAGCUUGGGCUCAGAAAAUUCCUGCAGAGCCAGGAAAUUAUACCUGGAAGAAAUGCAGAAAACCAAUGUUUCUUACUCAAAGAAGUAUUUUUGUAAAAAAUAAAGAUUCUAUAUUUGUAUUAGGGUAAAUAAUGCCAGUUUCCCUCCCAAGGGGUGAAAGGUACCAGUGGGAAUUUCGGAAGUUCCUGAUAUCCAUAAAUAUCUCAGGGUUUUAGCCCAUCACACAAGUUUUUCAGGUAACUUAUUCCUUUUUUCUAGACCAGUGAUGGUGAACAUUUUAGAGCUUUCAGUGAUACAAAUGACCCUGUGUAGCACAUGUGCCAUAGAUUCGCCAUGUACCUAGCAUGGCCCUUUGUCCUGAAGGAGGACCAGUGACUUUCCUACUCAGGAGCAUAUUUUGACCUUUCAAAUAGAGCUGUCUUUGGUCUCUCUUUGGCCCUUUGAAUGUGUUAUACUUCCAGGUGACCCAUUUUGCAAUAGGAGCAAUGGGAAACAAUAGACACCAAGUCAAUAACAUCCUAACUUUCUGUGCAGCUCUGUGAUUUAGAAUGCAUUUGUAGACAGUUUUCGGCCUCAUUUGGUGGUAGUAUAUAGUCAUAUUAUCUGGCCCACCAGAAGAUGGGCUCUUCCAAGAUGGUAGGAACUCUGAGAACCAAGAGUGUCAGGCCAGGUGUGGUGGCUCACGCCUGUAAUCCCAGCACUU